rnacentral:rRNA from 1 species
GAUGAACGCUAGCGGCAGGCCUAAUACAUGCAAGUCGAACGGUGUAGCAAUACACAGUGGCGCACGGGUUCGUAACACGUAUGCAACCUACCUUACAUUGGGGGAAAGCAUUUCGAACGGGAGAUUAAUACCGCAUAAGACAGUCACUAGGAAUCUAGUAGCUGUUCAAGAUUUAUCGAUGUAAGCUGGGCAUGCGUACAAGUAGUUAGUUGGCGAGGUAAUGGCUCACCAAGACGAUGAUUGGUAGGGGAACUGAGAGGUCAAUCCCCCACACUGGCACUGAGAUACGGGCCAGACUCCUACGGGAGGAAGCAGUAGGGAAUAUUGGGCAAUGGGCGCAAGCCUAACCCAGCCAUGCCGCGUGCAGGAAGAAGGCGUUAUGCGUUGUAAACUGCUUUUAUACAGGAAGAAACGACCCUUGCGAGGGGCAUUGACGGUACUGUAUGAAUAAGCACCGGCUAACUCCGUGCCAGCAGCCGCCGUAAUAC